ACCAUAUAGCACUUCUUCCCAUCUGACAGGAUUUUACAACCCAAGGCCUUCAUCAUCCACGCGGCGUCGCUGCGUCAGGGUUGCCCCCAUUGCGCAAUAUUCCUCA
rnacentral:rRNA from 1 species